AAUAAAGUGCCUGAUAAAAGGGAUAUCUUGAUAGGAUAUAUAAUGUUUUAAACCUUUAUUA
rnacentral:tRNA from 1 species